AGAACUUAUCGCCUAAGCCACUCCAGAAAAACUGAUCGCAUAUCAACAAAUGAAGAUGUCAUUCAUAUGUUACUAGCGUCUUCAGAUCCAUAUAUAAAUUCAUACCGUAAACAUUUCAAGAAGGAUAUAUUGGAAUUUUCUGAUGAAGUUAAAAAUUUGUUAUGUUAAUAAAGAUAUUUUCAUUGAAUAUGGGCGUAACUGUUACUGAAUUUUAUUUAAAUUUUAAUGAAAUAAAAAACACGCAAAUUGAAA